AAGAUGGCGUCCCUGCUGCAGUCGGAGCGGGUUCUCUAUCUCGUCCAAGGAGAAAAGAAGGUUCGGGCUCCGCUCUCACAGCUCUACUUCUGCCGCUACUGCAGUGAGCUUCGAUCGCUGGAAUGUGUGUCGCACGAGAGCUGCCUGUAGCUGGACGAUUUGCCCUGGACCCUGCGGUCUCCUGUGGGACUUGGCGAGUGGAGGGCUGAGAGAUCGGAAGUGUCUAGCUCAUGUCACUGAAAGGCAGAAGAAACUGUCUUCUUACCAUUAAAGGGAGGGGCGUGCAGCCAUUCUUGGUCGUGGCCCUCCCUUUUGGGAAGUUCUGACCCUCCUGUUACCAGAACCUGGACUCUGCCCAAACAGCUUGCCCAGUUUCUUGAGGCAGGCCAAGCAAGGACCAAAGCAAGAAGACUGUAAUAGGUUGACUUGAGUGGCAAAUGCAUAGAUCGGUCUGUAGUUUAAAAAAAAAAAAAAAAAAAAAAGCAGCUCAGAGUUCUGGCCACAGACCCAGACGACGGCCAUUGCAAUAGAAUUGUUCAGCUUAAUGAUAUUAAAAAAAAAAAAAAAGCACCCAAUGAAGUCCCAUACCUUCUGCAGCUUUUGAUAGAAGUUGUCUAUCUACUAUGCUUCUGGGAUUAAAAAUGAGUAAACCAUAAAUCCUACUGUUGGGAAUCAGUCUGUUGAAAGCUCAUACUAGUAUUAGCUGUGUAUAUUCUGUAUUCAGCUGUGUGACGGGGGCUUUACAUAAUUUUUCCAGCUACUGAAGAUGGAGGCUUGGGUUUGAGAGGCUUGGUGAAGGUUUUGGAUAGGGUUGGGUGGGGGUGGGGUCGUCGAGGCAAGGUCUCAUGUAGCUCAGGCUAGCCUCAAGCUUACUGUGUGGCCAAAAUGCUGGCCUGUAACUCCUGAUUCUCUUGCCUUCACCUCCCAAAUGCCGAAAUUAUAAAUGUAUACUACCAUGUCUAGCUGUUGAUGGUGCAUGUUGUUGCAAGAAGGGGGAAAAAGCUGUACUGUGGUGACUCAGGCCUGUAAUCCUAACCUUUGCGAGGCUAAGGAAAGAGAAGGAUUUUAAGUCCAAGGCAAGCAUGAACUGCAUAGUAAUUUAUAGGACUGUCUAGGCUAUAUUCCACCUCGUCUCUCUGAGCUCACACCCCAUCCCCAGAAGUACAGGUUAGGAAGCAAAUACAGAUUGUUUGUUGUAGAUUACAGAGUCAUUUAGAGAUGGGAGGGAACACCAGGAUCAGAGACUUAAGAUCCCUGGGGGUGGGGAGGAAAUGCAUGUGAAAACAUGUCCUGUAGUGUCAACCACUUUCCAAAUGAUGCUUAUUUUAUUGGGGAUACUUUCCAAAAUAUUAAGAAUGGUUAAACCAAAGAAUGUAAGAAAUCCAGUCCUAUUUAUACAUACUUAACUUAUUUGUGUCAUAUAUGUGACUUUUUUUUUUCUUGGAUUUUUGCACUAGCAAUUUGUGUGAUAGCAAGAAUCCUAUAAUUAUCAAAUAAAAUCUCAUUACUU
rnacentral:lncRNA from 1 species